rnacentral:rRNA from 1 species
AAGCAUCUUCGGAUGUGUAUAAAGUGGCGAACGGCUGAGUAACACGUGGGCAACCUGCCCUUUGCACUGGGAUAGCCUCGGGAAACCGAGGUUAAUACCGGAUACUCCAUAUUUGUCGCAUGGCGAAUAUGGGAAAGCUCCGGCGGCAAAGGAUGGGCCCGCGGCCUGUUAGCUAGUUGGUGGGGUAGUGGCCUACCAAGGCAAUGAUGGGUAGCCGGGUUGAGAGACCGACCGGCCAGAUUGGGACUGAGACACGGCCCAGACUCCUACGGGAGGCAGCAGUGGGGAAUCUUGCACAAUGGGCGAAAGCCUGAUGCAGCGACGCCGCGUGCGGGAUGAAGGCCUUCGGGUUGUAAACCGCUUUCAGCAGGGACGAGGCCGCAAGGUGACGGUACCUGCAGAAGAAG